CUACGUAGGUGGCAAGCGUUGUCCGGAUUUAUUGGGCGUAAAGCGAGCGCAGGCGGUUUCUUAAGUCUGAUGUGAAAGCCCUCGGCUCAACCGGGGAGGGUCAUUGGAAACUGGGAGACUUGAGUGCAGAAGAGGAGAGUGGAAUUCCAUGUGUAGCGGUGAAAUGCGUAGAUAUAUGGAGGAACACCAGUGGCGAAGGCGACUCUCUGGUCUUUAACUGACGCUGAGGCUCGAAAGCGUGGGGAUCAAACAGGAUUAGAUACCCUGGUAGUCCACGCCGUAAACGAUGAGUGCUAAGUGUUGGAGGGUUUCCGCCCUUCAGUGCUGCAGCUAACGCAUUAAGCACUCCGCCUGGGGAGUACGGCCGCAAGGUUGAAACUCAAAUGAAUUGACGGGG
rnacentral:rRNA from 1 species